rnacentral:rRNA from 1 species
UGGUGGAGUGAUUUGUCUGGUUAAUUCCGUUAAUGAACGAGACCGCCGCCUGCUAAAUAGUUCCGCUAAUGGUUUUUUCAUUGGCGAGAGCUUCUUAGAGGGACGUUCAUACUACAAGAUGAAGGAAGAUGGCGGCAAUAACA